GUCAACGUUCCGUUACCGAUCGUUUUGUAGAACGCUCUUUUGAAGAGACCAAUGAGGCGUUCAAAUUGGCCUCCCCACCAUGGUGCACGACUAAGGUUGAACCUCCACUCGAUUGCGUUGUCAGCCAGGAAUGCGUUGAACUUCUCGUCCUUUUGUGCUUUCUUCAGCCAUUUGUCGGCAGCCUUAAAGGUCUUCGCGUUGUCGGAAUAUAUGAUCUUCGGGCGACCACGUCUUGCGAUGAGUCUUUUCAGACUUGGUAUGAACUCCGCAACUUCCAAUGACCGUAAAAUCUCGAGAUGCACUGCACGCGUCAAACUGCAGCCAUAAAGCACCAGAUAUGCCUUCUUCUCCGCCUUUGCUUUAGUCCGGUAGCGUAUUGGACCCGCAAAAUCUACUCCAAUGACUUGGAACGGGGUUGAACCUUGCGUUCUCGUGAUUGGCAGCUUCCCAGGUGGAGGUUUCUUAUAUGCUUGAGCUCUAAAUCUCACGCACCCGUAACAAUCUUUCCGCACUUGCUUCACCAACCGUCGCAGUUUUGGAAUCCAAAAUCGCUCACGUACUUUUGCCAUGACCAUAGCGACACCACCGUGGAGGGUUACUAGAUGUGCUCGUUCGACUACUUUCUUGGCUAAGGUGGAACUACGAGGCAAGUACACGGGGAAAUCUCCUUCAAUGCGACCGCGACAUUCGAGUACUCCGUUUCCGUUAAGCUGAAUGUUCAAUUGAAGUUGGAUGUCGUGGAAUUCAGGAUCUUUCUUGACUUCACUUUGCGUUCUUUUAAUCGCCCAAAGUUCAC